ACGCUCGACACCUACGGGAGGCAGCAGUGGGGAAUAUUGCACAAUGGGGGAAACCCUGAUGCAGCGACGCCGCGUGAGCGAAGAAGUAUUUCGGUAUGUAAAGCUCUAUCAGCAGGGAAGAAGAAAGACGGUACCUGACUAAGAAGCCCCGGCUAACUACGUGCCAGCAGCCGGGUAAUCUGAGCGGGCUGGCAAGGC
rnacentral:rRNA from 1 species